GACGAACGCUGGCGGCGUGCUUAACACAUGCAGGUCGAACGGAAAGGCCCUGCUUUUGUGGGGUGCUCGAGUGGCGAACGGGUGAGUAACACGUGAGUAACCUGCCCUUGACUUUGGGAUAACUUCAGGAAACUGGGGCUAAUACCGGAUAGGAGCUCCUGCUGCAUGGUGGGGGUUGGAAAGUUUCGGCGGUUGGGGAUGGACUCGCGGCUUAUCAGCUUGUUGGUGGGGUAGUGGCUGACCAAGGCUUUGACGGGUAGCCGGCCUGAGAGGGUGACCGGCCACAUUGGGACUGAGAGACGGCCCAGACUCCUACGGGAGGCAGCAGUGGGGAAUAUUGCACAAUGGGCGGAAGCCUGAUGCAGCAACGCCGCGUGCGGGAUGACGGCCUUCGGGUUGUAAACCGCUUUCGCCUGUGACGAAGCGUGAGUGACGGUAAUGGGUAAAGAAGCACCGGCUAACUACGUG
rnacentral:rRNA from 1 species